rnacentral:rRNA from 1 species
UACAGAGGUCCCAAGCGUUGUUCGGAUUCACUGGGCGUAAAGGGUGCGCAGGUGGGUUUGCAAGUUUGAUGUGAAAGCCCCGGGCUUAACCCGGGAAUGGCAUUGAAUACUGCAGAUCUGGAGGAUUGGAGGGGGGACUGGAAUUCUUGGUGUAGCAGUGAAAUGCGUAGAUAUCAAGAGGAACACCAGUGGCGAAGGCGAGUCCCUGGACAAUACCUGACACUGAGGCACGAAAGCCAAGGGAGCAAACGGG